CUGAGUUGAAAAACUCCAACCCCUGUGUAUCUUACCUUCGUCGUUGCUUCGGCGGCCUGUCGAUUCCCCUCGGGGGGUUGGCGCCGCCGGAGGUAUCAAACUCUGAAUUUUUAGUGUAUCUCUGAGCACAAAAAACAAUAAUCA
rnacentral:misc_RNA from 1 species